AGUUCAGCAUCAAUAUGGUGACCUCCUGGAAGCAGGGGAACACCAGGUUGCCUAAGGAGGUGUGAACCCACCCAGGUCAGAAAUGGAGCAGGUCAAAACUCCCGUGCUGAUCAG
rnacentral:SRP_RNA from 1 species